UACGUAGGGUGCGAGCGUUGUCCGGAUUUAUUGGGCGUAAAGAGCUCGUAGGCGGUUUGUCGCGUCGGCCGUGAAAUCUCCACGCUUAACGUGGAGCGUGCGGUCGAUACGGGCAGACUUGAGUUCGGUAGGGGAGACUGGAAUUCCUGGAUGUAGCGGUGAAAUGCGCAGAUAUCAGGAGGAACACCGGUGGCGAAGGCGGGUCUCUGGGCCGAUACUGACGCUGGAGGAGCGAAAGCGUGGGGAGCGAACAGG
rnacentral:rRNA from 1 species